AAGUCUUCACCAUGGGAUGGAGCUGGAUCAUCCUCUUCCUGGUGGCAGCAGCUACAGGUGUCCACUCUCAGGUCAAGCUGGAGCAGUCUGGGGCUGAGCUGGUGAAGCCUGGGUCCUCAGUGAAGCUCUCCUGCAAGGCUUCAGGAUAUAGCUUCACUAGCUACAAUAUGCACUGGGUGAAGCAGAAGCCUGGACAGGGCAUGGAAUGGAUUGGGUAUAUUUAUCCUGGAAAUGGUAAUACUAAGUACAAUCAGAAGUUCAAGGGCAAGGCCACACUGACUGCAGACACAUCCUCCAGCACAGCCUACAUGGAGCUCAGCAGCCUGACAUCUGAGGACACUGCAGUCUAUUACUGUGCAAAAGACACAGUGUUGUGUCUUGUCCCAGAUCCAGCUUCAGGGAUCAGGACCUGGCCUGAUGAAGCCCUCACAAUUGCUGACCCUGACUUGGUCUGUCACUGGUUCCCAGGAAAGAUGCUGGAGUGGAUGAGGCACAUAAAUAAUGAUGGUGGCACUAACUACAACCCAUCCCUCAAGAGCCGCAUCUCCAUCACCAGAGAAACAUCCAAGAACCAGUUCUUUUUGCAGCUGUAA